rnacentral:rRNA from 1 species
CCUACGGGGGGCUGCAGUGGGGAAUAUUGGACAAUGGGGGGAACCCUGAUCCAGCCAUGCCGCGUGUGUGAAGAAGGCCCUCGGGUUGUAAAGCACUUUCAGUGAGGAAGAACGCCUGGUGGUUAAUACCCAUCAGGAAAGACAUCACUCACAGAAGAAGCACCGUCUAAAUCCGUGCCAGCAGCCGCGGUAAUACGGAGGGUGCGAGCGUUAAUCGGAAUUACUGGGCGUAAAGCGCGCGUAGGUGGCUUGAUAAGCCGGUUGUGAAAGCCCCGGGCUCAACCUGGGAACGGCAUCCGGAACUGUCGAGCUAGAGUGCAGGAGAGGAAGGUAGAAUUCCCGGUGUAGCGGUGAAAUGCGUAGAGAUCGGGAGGAAUACCAGUGGCGAAGGCGGCCUUCUGGACUGACACUGACACUGAGGUGCGAAAGCGUGGGUAGCAAACAGGAUUAGAUACCCCUGUAGUC